rnacentral:lncRNA from 1 species
GGAUUCUCAAGAAGCAUCUUUUUCUAAGAACCCUUGCGAUGUUGGAAAGCCCUGAAUGAGGAUGCUCAUAACAAAGCAUGCUCAAUAAGUAGAAUGAAAA